UUGAACGCUGGCGGCAGGCCUAGCACAUGCAAGUCGAAUGGUAACAGGAAACAGCUUGCUGUUUCGCUGACGAGUGGCGGACGGGUGAGUAAUGUCUGGGAAACUGCCUGAUGGAGGGGGAUAACUACUGGAAACGGUAGCUAAUACCGCAUAACGUCGCAAGACCAAAGAGGGGGACCUUCGGGCCUCUUGCCAUCAGAUGUGCCCAGAUGGGAUUAGCUAGUAGGUGGGGUAACGGCUCACCUAGGCGACGAUCCCUAGCUGGUCUGAGAGGAUGACCAGCCACACUGGAACUGAGACACGGUCCAGACUCCUACGGGAGGCAGCAGUGGGGAAUAUUGCACAAUGGGCGCAAGCCUGAUGCAGCCAUGCCGCGUGUAUGAAGAAGGCCUUCGGGUUGUAAAGUACUUUCAGCGGGGAGGAAGGGAGUAAAGUUAAUACCUUUGCUCAUUGACGUUACCCGCAGAAGAAGCACCGGCUAACUCCGUG
rnacentral:rRNA from 1 species